CGCAGGGCUGGGUGCUGGGUGCUGGGCUGCGGGGAUGAGCCACAUCCACAGACCCCAGUCUUCAGAGGCUCACGGCCUACGGUGCGGCAGGCAGAAGGAAGAAGGGGCACGUUCACAUCCUGGGCAGAGGCCUGCAAAGAGGCCCGGUCGCGGGAAAGCUGGGAGACUUGAUGGAACUGAAAGUCACUCUGUGUGGAAGGGCGUCUGAGCCAUGUAUGCAGAAGAGUAGAGGGAAAAUUAUUUUUCCUCCCUCCACGGUACGAAGGGAAAAACCCAGUUCUUCCCCUGCCUUGUGUUUCUUCCCUGUGAGUCUCCUUUGCUGCUCGCACAAAACACUUCCCUUCCGGUCACCAGAUGUGUGGACGUUUUCCUGCACAUCGAGCAAUUCUCUGUGACACCAGCUGGGGGUCCUACAAUCUAAUUCAAUUCUGACAAUAUCUAUCUGGAGAUAGCGUCAGAUCCCAGAGGUUAAGGGCCGGGUCCCACAAGGCCGCACCCCACGCGCGGGCGCGCGCGCGCACACACACACACACACACACACACACACUUCAGAUGUCAGUCUGUGAUGCAAGGUUGUUACCUGUGCUUCUGACCAACUGGCUAUAGAUCACAGGUAACAACGUCUUUGGGUUAGAUUAAUUUGCUACAGGAGCUCAGGGAAACAUUUAUGUUUACUAGUCUGUGAAAGGAUAUGAUGGAGGAUAUGGAUUGUUCACAAGGAGACAGCAGGCCCCAAAUGGAGUCACUUGUGCUAAUCCCCAUGUCAGCAAACCAAGACUUAAUACCUGACCUAGUUACAGAAUCAGUGUCUCCCAGGAACGUGACUUUUAACCAGUCCAUCUGGAACUACCUGGUUAGCACUAGGGAGGUAAUCUGCCACAGAAAUCCUUUCUGCCCCCCAAAGAAAGGCGAGGCACUCUGCCCUUUCCUGAUCUCUUUCCCUUCCUGCCUGAAAAAGCCUUCCGUUUUGUACAGAUCCUUGGAGCUCCUUUCUAUCCUUCAGAUGGGAUGCUGCCUGAUUCAUAUAUCAUUGAAGAAACCCGAUUUGAUCUUUAAAGUUCAAUGUCAAAGAGGAAGGUUCACAUGCUCUUUUCUCCAGAGCCUGGACUGCCCUCCUACCCACUCCUCCCACUCAGCUCGGCUUGUCACUUCCUUCCUUCAACCAGCACCUCGAACUGCCAUCCUGAUACAGCCUCAACUCAACGGCCGCUGCCCCCCAGGCACUCUUCCACUCCCCUCCUUGCCCACCCCUGCACAGCGGCCCGUGGAGGAUUCUCGUGCUUCUCGAGGCAGCCCUCGCCUGUGCCGUCUGUCCCUCCCGAGCUUGCUGGACCCCGUGUGCCGACAGCGCCCUUCACAGGGGUCUUGACUCCAAUCGGGUCCUCUCUGUGAGCCUGGCUGGCUGCCAGCUGGACGGCUCUGAAGCCAGCUCUAGGGAGGGAGUCCUGCCAAGGGCUGGCCUGGAUCACUGCUGAGAGAGAAGCAGCCGCCAGUCCCCACAGAGACGUUGCUCUCCAAACUUGUGAGUGGACGUGUCUCAGGAACUUGCUACCCACAUUCCUCGUACUUCGAAGACUGGCUCAAAACGGGCAGCCGGGGAGAGAGGCUAAGAACUCCUUGUGAUCGCAGCCCUGGGGCUGUCUGCCCGUCACCAGCUGUGUGACCUGGGGCGAUUCCUUAACCUCUCGGAGCCUCUGUUUUCUCAUCUGAAAAAAAAAAAAAAAUGGACACGAAAGGAACUAUUUUUAUUGCCUCAUAGGCCUUUUGUGGGGCUCAGACGAGAUCAUGGACACGAACGCUGUUGGUAAGCAUUUUGGUGCCGUCCUGGUGCUGCUGUGUGGUGUGGAUGCACCAAUGCAAAUAAGACACAAAAACACUGAUUAAAA